rnacentral:lncRNA from 1 species
GUUUCUAUGAAAGAACCUUGUGAGAUAAUUAUCUGCUGCAAGUGUGCAAGUGUGGUGGUCCAUGUGAACGUGCGAGGGUUCCACACACAGUAACACUUGCCCCUGUCUCAGUUCUCCUGCAGCUGGCGAGUGACGCUUUGCCCAGUGACAUGACCUUGGCCCUCGCUUACCUCCUCGCCUUACCACAGGUGUUAGAUGCGAACAGGUACUUUGAGAAGCAGGCACACUCAGCCCUGUCCCUCCAGCUGGCAGUGUACUACUACAGCCUCCAGAUCUACGCCCACCUGGUGCCCGGCUUCAGUGACAAGUGCCACCCUCUAUACAGAGCUGACCCCAAAGAGGUGAUCGGGAUGGUCACCAGGCACGUGACUCACUGUGGACUCAAAGCCUGGCCGGAGGCCCUGGCCCCACUCACCGCGCAGCUGCACCACUACAAUGAGCAGCUUCUGGACUUAACACAGGCACAGCUCCUGCAGGGCCUGGGGAAGGGCGUGGACGUGCAGCGCUUCACCACUGAUGACCAGUACAAGAGGGAGACCAUCCUUGGGCUGGCAGAAACGCUAGAGGAGAACGUGUAUAGCCUUGUGCUCUUCCUGGCUCAGCGCUGCGGCAUCUCCUGCUGGGAAGUGUUCAUGACCCACCUGGAGUUUCUGUUCACCGAUAGCGGGCGAAGAAUGCUGUCUCACACUGUUGACCAGAUGCGGAGGAAGACACUUAGAGCACCUGCCUGUCUCGGAUAUGGUUCCAGCCCAUGGCCACCACACUCAGACCCAUCAGUGAACCAGCCCUCGAUAUUCCAGAUCUGCAGCCUCCAGCUUGCACCAAUGAGCUUAGGG